UGCAUUGGGCGCAUGUCUGACGGAGCGACGCCCCGUGACAGAAGAAAUCCCUUUGGGAUGUAAACUUCUUUUAUAGGGGAAGAAGUUUAUUGACGGUACCUUAUGAAUAAGGGGCUCCUAAUCUCGGGCCCGCCGGAGCGGUAAUACGAGAGCCCCAAGCGUUAUCCGGAAUUAUUGGGCGUAAAGGAUGAGUAGGCGGCUUUGUUAGUCUUCGGUUAAAUCUUCGAGCUCAACUCGAAAACCGCUGAGGAAACGGCAAAGCUAUGAGAGUGUGAGAGGCGUGUGGAACUCAUGGUGUAGGGGUGAAAUCCGUUGAUUUCUUGGGGAACACCAAAAGCAAAGGCAGCACGCUGGCACACAUCUCACCCUGAAUCAUGAAACCGU
rnacentral:rRNA from 1 species